GGUGCUACUAACGUUACAUAAAACAAAGUGAGUUCCCUGUACAGGGAGCACCCGGUCAUAUUAUAUAACUCGCUGUGCUCCGACUCCAUUUUUUGUUGUUGUUAUGGAAACGACAGGUCUCGCUACGCCGCUUGUCAUUGGUCCGAUG